rnacentral:rRNA from 1 species
CACCCGCAGCCCGAGUGGUAGUCACUUUUAUUGAGCCUAAAGCGUUCGUAGCCGGUUUUGUAAAUCCUCAGACAAAUUCUCCCGCUUAACGGGAGAUACUCUGGAGAGACUGCGAAACUAGGGACCGGGUGAGGUUGAAGGUACUUCUGGGGUAGGGGUAAAAUCCUGUAAUCCUGGAAGGACGACCAGUGGCGAAGGCGUUCAACUAGAACGGAUCCGACGGUGAGGAACGAGGGCUAGGGGAGCAAACCGGAUUAGAUACCCGGGUAGUCCUAGCUGUAAACACUGCCCACUUGGUGUUGCUUCUUCUAUAGGGGGGAGCAGUGCCGGAGCGAAGGUGUUAAGUGGGCCGCUUGGGGAGUAUGGUCGCAAGGCUGAAACUUAAAGGAAUUGGCGGGGGAGCACCGCAACGGGAGGAGCGUGCGGUUUAAUUGGAUUCAACGCCGGAAAACUCACCGGGAGCGACCUUUGGAUGAGAGUCAACCUGACGAGUUUACUCGAUAGAAGGAGAGGUGGUGCAUGGCCGUCGUCAGCUCGUACCGUAGGGCGUUCACUUAAGUGUGAUAACGAGCGAGACCCCCAUCCUUAAUUGCAAAUCUCAGGGUGACUUGAGAUGCACUUUAAGGAGACCGCCAGCGCUAAGCUGGAGGAAGGAGAGGUCGACGGCAGGUCAGUACGCCCCGAAUCUCCCGGGCUACACGCGCGCUACAAAGGACAGGACAAUGAGAUGCGACAUCGAAAGGUGGAGCUAACCUCGAAACCUGUUCGUAGUUAGGAUUGAGGGCUGUAACUCGCCCUCAUGAAUGUGGAUUCCGUAGUAAUCGCGGGUCAACAACCCGCGGUGAACAUGCCCCUGCUCCUUGCACACACCGCCCGUCAAACCAUCCGAGUUGGUGUUGGAUGAGGUUUAAUUCGAGAGGGUUAAAUCAAAUCUGAUGUCGGUGAGGAGGGUU